AGAGUUUGAUCAUGGCUCAGGAUGAACGCUAGCUACAGGCUUAACACAUGCAAGUCGAGGGGCAUCAGUUUGGUUUGCUUGCAAACCAAAGCUGGCGACCGGCGCACGGGUGAGUAACACGUAUCCAACCUGCCUCAUACUCGGGGAUAGCCUUUCGAAAGAAAGAUUAAUAUCCGAUAGCAUAUAUUUCCCGCAUGGGUUUUAUAUUAAGAAUUCGGUAUGAGAUGGGGAUGCGUUCCAUUAGUUGUUGGCGGGGUAACGGCCACCAAGACUACGAUGGAUAGGGGUUCUGAGAGGAAGGUCCCCCACAUUGGAACUGAGACACGGUCCAAACUCCUACGGAGGCA
rnacentral:rRNA from 1 species